AGAGAGGAGCUUGCUCUUCUUGGAUGAGUUGCGAACGGGUGAGUAACGCGUAGGUAACCUGCCUUGUAGCGGGGGAUAACUAUUGGAAACGAUAGCUAAUACCGCAUAACAAUGGAUGACACAUGUCAUUUAUUUGAAAGGGGCAAUUGCUCCACUACAAGAUGGACCUGCGUUGUAUUAGCUAGUAGGUGAGGUAAUGGCUCACCUAGGCGACGAUACAUAGCCGACCUGAGAGGGUGAUCGGCCACACUGGGACUGAGACACGGCCCAGACUCCUACGGGAGGCAGCAGUAGGGAAUCUUCGGCAAUGGGGGCAACCCUGACCGAGCAACGCCGCGUGAGUGAAGAAGGUUUUCGGAUCGUAAAGCUCUGUUGUAAGUCAAGAACGGGUGUGAGAGUGGAAAGUUCACACUGUGACGGUAGCUUACCAGAAAGGGACGGCUAACUACGUGCCAGCAGCCGCGGUAAUACGUAGGUCCCGAGCGUUGUCCGGAUUUAUUGGGCGUAAAGCGAGCGCAGGCGGUUUGAUAAGUCUGAAGUUAAAGGCUGUGGCUCAACCAUAGUUCGCUUUGGAAACUGUCAAACUUGAGUGCAGAAGGGGAGAGUGGAAUUCCAUGUGUAGCGGUGAAAUGCGUAGAUAUAUGGAGGAACACCGGUGGCGAAAGCGGCUCUCUGGUCUGUAACUGACGCUGAGGCUCGAAAGCGUGGGGAGCGAACAGGAUUAGAUACCCUGGUAGUCCACGCCGUAAACGAUGAGUGCUAGGUGUUGGAUCCUUUCCGGGAUUCAGUGCCGCAGCUAACGCAUUAAGCACUCCGCCUGGGGAGUACGACCGCAAGGUUGAAACUCAAAGGAAUUGACGGGGGCCCGCACAAGCGGUGGAGCAUGUGGUUUAAUUCGAAGCAACGCGAAGAACCUUACCAGGUCUUGACAUCCCGAUGCUAUUUCUAGAGAUAGAAAGUUACUUCGGUACAUCGGUGACAGGUGGUGCAUGGUUGUCGUCAGCUCGUGUCGUGAGAUGUUGGGUUAAGUCCCGCAACGAGCGCAACCCCUAUUGUUAGUUGCCAUCAUUCAGUUGGGCACUCUAGCGAGACUGCCGGUAAUAAACCGGAGGAAGGUGGGGAUGACGUCAAAUCAUCAUGCCCCUUAUGACCUGGGCUACACACGUGCUACAAUGGUUGGUACAACGAGUUGCGAGUCGGUGACGGCGAGCUAAUCUCUUAAAGCCAAUCUCAGUUCGGAUUGUAGGCUGCAACUCGCCUACAUGAAGUCGGAAUCGCUAGUAAUCGCGGAUCAGCACGCCGCGGUGAAUACGUUCCCGGGCCUUGUACACACCGCCCGUCACACCACGAGAGUUUGUAACACCCGAAGUCGGUGAGGUAACCU
rnacentral:rRNA from 1 species